AUUCCGGGCAGCGGCCCUGUGUCCUGCAAGCUUGAGGACCGCGGUUCCUCUCCCACCAAUUGGGGUCCUGAAUUAGGGUGCGAGCAGCCAGGCGCCAUCCCGGGGCGGGUUGUGGGGUCCUCGGUAUGGGGAGGUUGGGAAACAGAGAGGACACUGGGGAGAGGAAAGAUAAAGGGAAAAUCCGGAACACAGAGAUCGCUUCUGGUCUCUGCGGAGGAAGCCAGGCCCCCAGGGCGCCCAUAUCCAGGUGAGGAGCACAGAGACCUGAACCGAAAACCGCUGGGGGAGACCUAAGCGGUGACUUCGGUUCCCAUUCCCAGAGAUGUGAGUUAGAUCCGGGACCACGGGGCUGCACCUGCGUCCUGCCCGCCCCCACCCUACCCCUUCACCUCAGGACCUGACCUAGACUCCAGAGAGAACAGUAAGGCUUCGGUGCCUUAGUCUGGGACUGUGGAAGUCGAUAGGCUGCGGGCUUACAGGGAGCUUCGUAUACUAAAAUCAGCCAGCUGCGGAGGCAGAGCUGAAAGGAGGCAGAAAGAAUGAGCUCUCUGAACUUGCAUGGCUACCCAGACCAUCCCUACAACUCCCUUGAACUCACAAGGGUAUGAAUAUUCAGCCAAUCUCUUCUUUGUUAUAGUCUGUUAAGGGCUUUGAGAUCUUCCAUUUGGACUCCUUGACAGCCGGUAGAUCAACACCUGCACAAAAAAUAGCAGCCACCACAAUUCAGUUGUCCCUUACCUACCUGAGCUGGAAGUUAGUAACUUGGAAAAUGUAAAACAAGAACCCUCAUAGAACUUGGGACAAGAUUUGAAAAAAAUAAAGUUACCCUAUGAAAUGAUCUGUAAAUGGGCUACAGAGGCCACAGUGUCUCCCACAUUUCAUCAGAGAGAGUAAACCAUGUGUAACCUAAGUGUCACAUACCCAGUUAAUGCUGUCAUAACCGAAGGGUGGGGUCCACAAAGAGUCUAAAACCAGAAGAAUCUGAAUAAGAAUGUUCUAUGAGGCUCCCAGGAACUCUGUCCAGGAACGAGGCAACUGAUUCUAAUGACCAGAACCAACACUUACUCUCAGGGCAGUUAAAUCUUAAUUCAGAUUCACUCACUCAUUCAACAGAUACUUAGUGAAUGCUUACUAUGUUCUAGUCUCUUAAGAUACGUCAGUAAAUCCCUGCCUUCGUGGAGUUUAUAUCCUAGCAAACCUAAAUUCUGGAUCUCCGUUAAGAGCAUACAAAGGCCCAUACUCUGAUUCCAAACUCAGCUAGUAGCCUUUCCAUCAUUCAGGGAGUCUCUCAAAUAAAUCUACAUACCCAAUAAGAAGGGAUUGUCCAAGGCAUAUAACUAGGACUAGUUAUACUAGCUGUACAGUUUUUGUCAAUAAAUUCAUAUCAUGGUUUACAAAUCGGACACUGUUCACUGGGUUGAAUUGUUUUAUCCGAAUUAAUUUCUCAGAGCCUAUUUAAACUUGAGCGAAGUGAAAUAAAAGUUUCCAAAUCUGCCAAACAGGAUCAACAGAGCCUGAUUUCAGAGCAGCCCAGUGAAGAUGCAGUCUGUGCAUUUAGCCUUGUAUCUCUCUUUAAAUAUCUUAAAUGAAAGCUUUACCUGUGAUUCCAUGCUUGGAGAACAGGAGCAAUAUGAUUGCUUCAAAAGCUUUAUCAUAAGUGCGUAAAAGUCUUGAGAGUAAAUCCGAAGAGAGUUAAAAACCUCCUCCGCCUGCCCCACAUAUGCAACACAGGCUCUUGUUGACAUAACUGACUGUAAUAAAUACUUUGCUCUGAAUAUGAAACCUAAGAUGUAAGCUCCCAGAGGGAAGGAUUCCCUUGCCUUUUUUUUUUUUUUUUUUUUUUUUUUUUUUUUGGUGAGACAAGGUCUUGCUCUGUCACUCAGGCUGGGGUCCAGUGUCUGGAUUAUGGCUCAAUACAGCCUCAACUUCCUGGCCUCCAGCAGCAUUCCUACCCUAGUCUCCUGAGUAGCUGGGACUACAGGGACAUGCCACCAUGCCUGGCUAAUUUUAAAAUUUUUUUAGAGAUGGGUUUCCCUAUGUUGCCCAGGCCUCUCUUGAACUCCUGGCCUCAAGUGAUCCUCCCACCUCAGCCUCCCAAAGUGCUGUGAUUACAGGCGUGAGCCACCGUGCCCGGCCUCCCUUGCGUUUUUAUACCCUACCCACAAAGUAUGGGAUCUCAAAAAACAAAUGAAUUGAUCAAUGACCAUUUUCCCCCUCAAAAACUGCAGAACAUAUUCUUGGAAGAUAUAUUCUCUAGAUCCUACUUGAUAAUAUAAAAACAGUAUGUUCAACAUAGGGGCCACAUGGGCUAUAAUUCAAAACAAACACUUUUAUUUUGUAUCUUUUGCCAUGCCUUUCAAUUUGUGCAGUGGGAGUAGAUCUGUCAUGUACCUAAUUGAAAACUCAGGCAGGUUCCAUGAGUUUUUAGGGGUUCUGUGGUCUCCUUAGGAAUAGAGUCCUGUUGUCAUUGAGUCACAAAGAGUGAAAUGUUUUCCUCUUUUUCAGCUGGGAACAGUUGUCUCAUUGCUUGCCCUAAAGAGGGGACCAUAGUCAUCUUUAACCUGCCUAGUCUUUCUCCUCCCGGCUUAACUAAUCAUAACCAAAUCUGGGGAAGGCAGGGAGAAAAAGGAGCAGGAAAGUUGUUAACUUUGUAUGAUGGUUUGACAUUCCCUGGGCAUGGUAGAUGCUUAAAGCUGACUUAUUUUUUCAUGGAUACCUCAGAGACUACCACCAUCCCCCUUCUCUGGUGGUUUCUCCCCCAUAAUUCUAUUGGUCUAAGCGUAAAGCUAUUUUGGCAGUUAUUUACUUCUUUCCACGCACCUCCAACUACUUGUCUGUUGAAACCUGGGCAUCUCUGUAAAGGCCCUGUCAGAUAGGAUCUGAGAUGACUCUCACACUCGUCCAUUUGCAAGUGACCCUUUAUUGUGGGACAAGGUUGUGCACUCCGUACCCUAGGGGGUGCCAUUCACAUCAUUCUCACUGUAGUUCUGUAUGUUAUUUAUUUUAAUGUUUUUCCAGCAGGUGGCAGUAAAGUGUUUUGUCCAAACUAAAUUACAACGACUGCUUCCCAAUAGAUGGAAGCAAAGCGUCUGGACGAAGGAGAGCUUUUUUCUCAUGGUGCUGCUGUGUUAGCCUAGUGACAGCUCUGUAUGGCCCACACCUGGUCCACAGGAAGCUCUCAGGCACCUCUUGCCCGAACAAACUUGGGAGUACAGGCUAAUCCCAGUGCAGAUUCAACAUUCCUCUACUCUGCUGCCAAAACAGCCGCCAGCCUGUGGGAGUCAGACACAGGCCCACGGUGCCCCUCAGACUGCAGGAGGUACAAGUCAAGUGCUCUGAGCAGAUCCAUUGAAGGCCCACUCCCUCGACUUGAAGUAAAAGGCAGGCAGGCACCUGUGGUAAGAAUCACAGCUCACCAGCAACAGUCUCCAAAGACAUUGUCCUCAAUAAUUCUGGUUUGGCCUUUUAUAACUAAAUAACUGAGUAUUUAAUCUACCUGCUUUGUCUAAAUCCUCUGAAAUUUCUAGAGGGGGUCUAUCUCAGAAAUUACUUUAGUUUUUUGGUGGAUGGAGGGAAGAAGAUGGUUUCUUUUAUAAUAAUCUUGUUGCUUCAGUUAAAACAGUGGUUCUCAACUGCGACAAUUUUGGGGGACCAUGUGUGCAGACAUUUUUGGUUUUUUUUUAAACUUUUUUUUUCCUUCUGAAUUCAGGAUCUGCUGAAUACAGACAUUUUUGAUUGUCACCACUGGAGAGGUGCUAUUGGCUGGUGGGAGAAGGUCAAGGAUGCUGGUAAACAUCCUUUACGGCACAGGACAGCCCCUACAGCAAAGAACAGCAAUUCUGUUUGUUACAGAGAUGAGAGAAUACCUCACUAAAAGAAUACUUCAAAAUUACAUCACUUUUUCUUCUUUUUUUCCUACAAAUUCUUUACCUGUAGAUGGAAACGUCACAUUUCAAUAUAUCAAUAGAGUCAAAAAUAGCAUUUGCAAUAGCUAUUUGGCCAGGAUGAGAAGUGACUGGUAUAGACCAAUCCUUUGUGUUUCCAAGACUCCUUCUGGAGAUGAGGCCAUGCCAGGAAAAUUACUACUUGAGAUAAAAUUGUUAUUUAUUUGCAAGAUGACUUUUAAGCCUGGAAAACAAGCAUUCUAUCCCAGCUUAUCUGAACAGAGGCAUUAUGCCUCUCAGAAGUAAGGUCAUGAGUCACAUCACUGUGGAAGGAAUAUAUCUUUGCUACAACCUGGACUGCAUUCUAGAUGCCAGGGAGGACCUCAGCAUAUCUGCCUCCCCAAGGUCACCAGUGUCACUGGAAUGAGACUUGAAGUCAGGAAGUAGCUGUCUCUGCAGUUACUUUACAGAUGGCUAAUAAUGCCCUCAUUAUUCACAGAGAAUGCAAAUGGGUUCUUCCAUCCUUUACAUGAGUUUGACUGAAUUCAUCUCUUCCAGAUGUAGCAGGAUGUUGAGCCCUUCCCUUGCACCAUCAGUAAGGAAACUUUUAAUCAGGUGUUUUCCUUACCGUUACUGAUCUCCCUGAGCAAGGCUGUUUGAGUACUGGGAUAUAGAUUAACUUGAGUUCAGUCAAGGCUGCCUUGUCUUUCUUAAUACGAUGUUAAUAAGAAACGAGCCACCCUAGCCAGAAAAGCCAAAAAGAUAUAUUCUAUCCCCACCAAUUCUAUCACUUAAAAGUAAAAUAGAUAAAACAAACAUUCCAAGUUCCAGUUCUAGCCCUGUUACUAGCCUUUUGACUCUGGUCAAGUUACUUAACUUAGUUGUACCUUAGAUUCCCCAUUAGUCAAAUAGGGAAACAGACUUAAAUGAAUUGGUAUGCAUAAAAGUGCUUUAUUAGCCAUAUACAAUUUUUUCAGUUCCCUCUCCUAUACUGCAUUCAGAGGCCUAGAGAACAACCUGAAAAUGUCUUGCUUUCAUAUCUGGAUUUAUUGCCAGGAAUGAGGCCCAGUGUGAACACCUUUCUUGACAGAAAUUGCCAAAUCUUUGUCUAUCUAUUUGUAAAUGAAAACCAAGAACCACUAAGAAUUCCCCCAAACUCUCGGUGCUGGUUUUAAGAUCUUCUGAGCCUUGUAAGUUACAGUAAAUACAAGCACAUCUCUUCCCCAAUUAGAAGCAUAUUUACACUGCCCAUUUGUAGAACAAGACAUGACUGUAAAUACAGAUAGGAAGCCAUCAUUACAUGCAGUCUUGUGUGCAGGGAAAAACAAGUGCAUAUGGAGAUGAGAUUGUGACUACUCUUGAUUCUCACAGAGCAGUAAAAUGCUAUCAAAUUCAGUCAAACUCAGCUAAUGAAUUUUCUCCUUGAGGUAGUCUCCUCUACUGGGAAGAAAGGAAGAACUAAAAACACAUCAAAUUUAAAUCCUCUGGUAAAAGAGAAGCAACUCACCAUUAGAGAGAUGUAUUGCUGGCUCUUCCAAGAAAUGGAGUGGAAAUCUUUCUGUGCCACUUUGCCCAGGACCAUUGUGCCAGUGUGCAAGAAUGUGUGUUUUUCAUAAACAGAAAAAUAUCACUAGCUGCAAAGAGAAGAAACUGUUCCAGGGUGUACAAAUCCCACGCCAACCUCCAAAAUAAUGGCAAAUACUGUUCUGAUCUUAGCAACCCAGAAUAACCUUUGUGCCAUUUAUUUAUUCAACACAUAUUUCUUGGGCAGCUAUUAUGGGUCAGGCACUGUGCUAGGCGAUAUGAUCAUGAUCUCUGCCCUGGAAAAGCUUCAUCUUACAUAUCUCUGGAAUAAAAUAUUUUGGUGGAAUAGAACCAAAGUUAACAUAAUGUGGAUUUCAGCUUCUAUAUUCACUCAUAUAGCCACUGGUGCCAGUCACAUCCAGUUUGGAGAGCUGGAACAAUUAACAGUAAGUCUCAUCUUUGCCAAGUCCACAUAUUUGGCCUGAUAACUCAGAAUUCAGUGUAUGACAAUAAUGUAGGCCAAUACUAUCAUCAGCUAUAAGACUAAUUUGUUUUGGUUUCUUUAUUAAAUUCCUAUAAUCAGCUAGAUAUUUUUUCCACAAUCAGAACUUUUAUUGUUGAAAAUAAAUAAAUAACAAAGAAUAAAUAUCCCUUUCUCUUCUUCCCUCUGCCUGUAUCCAUAUAGGGGAAAGAAAAAACUGCUCUGAGAUUCAGUGAGAUUAUGACCUUCACAAAAUCAUGAACUUUCUGCUGCCUUUUUAACCAGAAAUCUAGGCAGGAGGGUCUCACCAUUUUGCAUAUCCUACCUGUUCCUUACAGGCUCUAGGCUUUUGAGCCUUCCUAUCAUUUGACCAGCCAAGUUGCUUCUCAGCACCUUUUUUUUCCCCUUUGAGUCAGGGUCUGGGUCCAGUGGCCCAAUUAUAGCUCACUGCAGCCUCAGUAUCCCAGGCUCAAGCAAUCCUCCC
rnacentral:lncRNA from 1 species